rnacentral:rRNA from 1 species
AUUGAACGCUGGCGGCAUGCCUUACACAUGCAAGUCGAACGGCAGCGGGGGAGAAGCUUGCUUUUCCUGCCGGCGAGUGGCGAACGGGUGAGUAAUACAUCGGAACGUGCCCUGUAGUGGGGGAUAACUAGUCGAAAGAUUAGCUAAUACCGCAUACAACCUGAGGGUGAAAGUGGGGGACCGCAAGGCCUCAUGCUAUAGGAGCGGCCGAUGUCUGAUUAGCUAGUUGGUGGGGUAAAGGCCUACCAAGGCGACGAUCAGUAGCUGGUCUGAGAGGACGAUCAGCCACAGUGGGACUGAGACACGGCCCAGACUCCUACGGGAGGCAGCAGUGGGGAAUUUUGGACAAUGGGCGAAAGCCUGAUCCAGCAAUGCCGCGUGCGUGAAGAAGGCCUUCGGGUUGUAAAGCACUUUUGUCCGGAAAGAAAUGGCUCUGGUUAAUACCUGGGGUCGAUGACGGUACCGGAAGAAUAAGGACCGGCUAACUACGUGCCAGCAGCCGCAGUAA